CAUUGGUUCUCCCGCGACGAUAAGUGGUGAACCCCGCCAGGCCCGGAAGGGAGCAACGGUAACUGCUGAUUCGGGCGCCGGGAUGUGGCUGGUGCGG
rnacentral:SRP_RNA from 1 species